rnacentral:lncRNA from 1 species
AGUCCUAUUCUGCAAGCGCAGCGCUGCAAAAAGCCUGCGGCGCUCUGAGGCGCCUGGUCCUGGGGACCUCUUUCCACUCUUUACUCUCAAGAUAGGAGGAUGGGUCUGGGGGAUUGUUUUUGGUUUUCUGGUUUUGUUUUACUCUGGUUUGGUCGGUUUUGUAUUUUUCUAUUUUUCCUUUUUUUCCCUUUUUUCUUUUUUGAUUUUUCUUUCCCGUUAUUCUCCCAGCCAAAAGCUACCUUCGACCCUUUUGAUUUGAUGUAGCAAAGAGUGUGUGUCCAGAUUAUCUGAAAUUGACACUGAAGAAGGCCUCUCAGCCUCCCAACCUCCCGGCCUCUCAAGAGCUGGCUGGGUGUGGGAAAAACUGAAAUCGUCCUGGCCGGCUGACUUUGAACUCUGACUUCAUCUCCUCUCAGCCGGUCUUCAACAUCCUUUUGGUUCCUGAGCGUCAGCCCUGCCCUGAUGCACCUGUUCCUGAGCCCCCUUCCUGGGGAACCCUCGCCAGGCAUUCUCUCCUUACCCUUCCAAUUCAGGUAGGAAUCAGACACCUUGGGGGUCAAUGGAGCAAGGCAGGAAGAAAAAGCCCAAUGGGGCACCUCACAGGCCUCUGACGAUACCCUGGUGUUUCUGGGGUACAGGGUCUCCAUUCUAUCACCGAUAAGUUGAUAAGUCGCUGACCCUGUAUGAACUGUCUCCAGAGGCGGGAACCUGGCCUGGCCCCCUGGCACAGCCUCACACAGCACAAGAGAGCAGUUCUUUCAAGAAAUCAUAAUUUUACUGUCUCAAAGAAACUUUAUAACUUAUUUACAAAGUUUUUUUCCCAAGAUACAAAGCAAUA